CUGUCAUGGCGCUGGUGGGAGUGUAGCAGUGAGGACAACCAGAGGUGACUCUCGUGGCCAUCUAGGUUUUGUGGCUGGUACCAGUUUUUCCUUUCCAUAAUUUGUGCUUACAAGAGGAGCUCUUGUAAGGUAGGCCUGGUGGUGACAAAAUUUCUCAGCAUUUGCUUGUCUGUAAAGGAUUUUAGUUCUCCUUUGCUUAU
rnacentral:lncRNA from 1 species